rnacentral:rRNA from 1 species
AGAACGAACGCUGGCGGCAGGCUUAACACAUGCAAGUCGAGCGCCCCGCAAGGGGAGCGGCAGACGGGUGAGUAACGCGUGGGAACAUACCCUCCGGUUCGGAAUAGCUCAGGGAAACUUGGAUUAAUACCGGAUACGGCCUAGCGGCGAAAGAUUCAUCGCCGGAGGAUUGGCCCGCGUUCGAUUAGCUAGUUGGUGAGGUAACGGCUCACCAAGGCGACGAUCGAUAGCUGGUCUGAGAGGAUGAUCAGCCACAUUGGGACUGAGACACGGCCAAACUCCUACGGGAGGCAGCAGUGGGAAUAUUGGACAAUGGCGCAAGCCUGAUCCAGCCAUGCCGCGUGAGUGAUGACGGCCUUAGGGUUGUAAAGCUCUUUCGCUAGGGACGAUAAUGACGGUACCUAGACAAGAAGCCCGGCUAACUUCGUGCCAGCAGCCGC